rnacentral:rRNA from 1 species
UAGCUUGACACUGAACAUUGAGCCUUGAUGUGUAGGAUAGGUGGGAGGCUUUGAAGCGUGGACGCCAGUCUGCGUGGAGCCGACCUUGAAAUACCACCCUUUAAUGUUUGAUGUUCUAACGUGGACCCGUAAUCCGGGUUGCGGACAGUGUCUGGUGGGUAGUUUGACUGGGGCGGUCUCCUCCUAAAGAGUAACGGAGGAGCACGAAGGUUGGCUAAUCCUGGUCGGACAUCAGGAGGUUAGUGCAAUGGCAUAAGCCAGCUUGACUGCGAGCGUGACGGCGCGAGCAGGUGCGAAAGCAGGUCAUAGUGAUCCGGUGGUUCUGAAUGGAAGGGCCAUCGCUCAACGGAUAAAAGGUACUCCGGGGAUAACAGGCUGAUACCGCCCAAGAGUUCAUAUCGACGGCGGUGUUUGGCACCUCGAUGUCGGCUCAUCACAUCCUGGGGCUGAAGUAGGUCCCAAGGGUAUGGCUGUUCGCCAUUUAAAGUGGUACGCGAGCUGGGUUUAGAACGUCGUGAGACAGUUCGGUCCCUAUCUGCCGUGGGCGCUGGAGAACUGAGGGGGGCUGCUCCUAGUACGAGAGGACCGGAGUGGACGCAUCACUGGUGUUCGGGUUGUCAUGCCAAUGGCACUGCCCGGUAGCUAAAUGCGGAAGAGAUAAGUGCUGAAAGCAUCUAAGCACGAAACUUGCCCCGAGAUGAGUUCUCCCUGAGACUUAGAGUCUCCUGAAGGAACGUUGAAGACGACGACGUUGAUAGGCCGGGUGUGUAAGCGCAGCGAUGCGUUGAGCUAACCGGUACUAAUGAACCGUGAGGCUUAACCUU